rnacentral:rRNA from 1 species
UCCGGAUUUAUUGGGCGNAAAGGGAGCGCAGGCGGUUUAGUAAGUCUGAAGUUAAAGNCAUUGGCUCAACCAAUGUAUGCUUUGGAAACUGUUAGACUUGAGUGCAGAAGGGGAGAGUGGAAUUCCAUGUGUAGCGGUGAAAUGCGUAGAUAUAUGGAGGAACACCGGUGGCGAAAGCGGCUCUCUGGUCUGUCACUGACGCUGAGGCUCGAAAGCGUGGGUAGCGAACAGGAUUAGAUACCCUGGUAGUCCACGCCGUAAACGCUGAGUGCUAGGUGUUAGGUCCUUUCCGGGACUUAGUGCCGACGCUAACGCAUUAAGCACUCCGCCUGGGGAGUACGACCGCAAGGUUGAAACUCAAAGGAAUUGACGGGGGCCCGCACAAGCGGUGGAGCAUGUGGUUUAAUUCGAAGCAACGCGAAGAACCUUACCAGGUCUUGACAUCCCGAUGCCCGCUCUAGAGAUAGAGUUUUUCUUCGGAACAUCGGAGACAGGUGGUGCAUGGUUGUCGUCAGCUCGUGUCGUGAGAUGUUGGGUUAAGUCCCGCAACGAGCGCAACCCUUAUUGUUAGUUGCCAUCAUUAAGUUGGGCACUCUAGCGAGACUGCCGGUAAUAAACCGGAGGAAGGUGGGGAUGACGUCAAAUCAUCAUGCCCCUUAUGACCUGGGCUACACACGUGCUACAAUGGUUGGUACAACGAGUCGCAAGCCGGUGACGGCAAGCUAAUCUCUGAAAGCCAAUCUCAGUUCGGAUUGUAGGCUGCAACUCGCCUACAUGAAGUCGGAAUCGCUAGUAAUCGCGGAUCAGCACGCCGCGGUGAAUACGUUCCCGGGCCUUGUAC